rnacentral:rRNA from 1 species
GUAGGGAAUAUUGGGCAAUGGGUGCAAGCCUGACCCAGCCAUCCCGCGUGCCGGAUGAAGGCCCUCUGGGUCGUAAACGGCUUUUGACGGUGAAGAACCGAAAGGGUGCGCCCUUUUUUGACGGUAGCCGUUGAAUAAGCACCGGCUAACUCCGUGCCAGCAGCCGCGGUAAUACGGAGGGUGCGAGCGUUGUCCGGGUUUAUUGGGUUUAAAGGGUGCGUAGGCUGGAGGGACAGUCAGCGGUGAAAAGCAGUUGCUCAACAAUUGUCUUGCCGCAGAUACUACCUUUCUUGGAUUGGGAGGAGGUUACCGGAACGGAUGGUGUAGCGGUGAAAUGCAUAGAUAUCAUCCAGAACGCCAAUUGCGAAGGCAGGUAACUGUACCUAUAUCGACGCUGAUGCACGAAAGCAUGGGUAGCGAACAGGAUUAGAAACCCGAGUAGUCC